CAGGCCUAACACAUGCAAGUCGAACGGCAGCACGGACUUCGGUCUGGUGGCGAGUGGCGAACGGGUGAGUAAUACAUCGGAACGUGCCCAGUCGUGGGGGAUAACGUAGCGAAAGCUACGCUAAUACCGCAUACGAUCUAAGGAUGAAAGCGGGGGAUCGCAAGACCUCGCGCGAUUGGAGCGGCCGAUGGCAGAUUAGGUAGUUGGUGGGGUAAAGGCCUACCAAGCCGACGAUCUGUAGCUGGUCUGAGAGGACGACCAGCCACACUGGGACUGAGACACGGCCCAGACUCCUACGGGAGGCAGCAGUGGGGAAUUUUGGACAAUGGGCGCAAGCCUGAUCCAGCCAUUCCGCGUGCAGGAUGAAGGCCCUCGGGUUGUAAACUGAUUGUGUACGGAACGAAAAGGCUCUGGUUAAUACCUGGGGCUCAUGACGGUAC
rnacentral:rRNA from 1 species